AAGCGUUUGAAGUCAGUCGCGUCCCUCAGAACUCAGCCUUGCUUCUGCUUGGUGUACUUUCUGACGGAUGGGUCAGCAUCAAUUUUGAUCAAGGGAGAAAGGCUUGGGGAAUGUGGCUGUCUUCGGGCAGUGUUAUAGCCCCUUGUUGUAUGUCUUGAUUGGGAUUGAGGAUCGCAGCACGCCUUUUGGCCGGGGUUCGCGCCCUCGGUACGUGCUUAGGAUGCUGGCAUAAUGGCUUUAAGCGA
rnacentral:rRNA from 1 species